UGAAGAAGGCGGGCUUUCUCCCAGCAGGAAAGAACGCGUCUUUUCCACGUGGGAGUCAAGGCGAUGGCGGCCGGGCAGGCUCCGUCGUCGGAACUGCUGGACUUGCGGGAUGUUGUGGAAGCUGACUUGCCCGCAGCACUAACCCUGUUCAAAUCUCUGCAGGAACAGGUGGUUGCAGUUACUCACCAUGUACAAUGUUUAGUGCAGAAGGUACGAGCAGGAGACUACCCCACCGAAAAGGUAAGCUGUUGAAGGAAAGGGGACGGGUGUGGGCAAAGAAACACAGGAGAUGGGGCUUAGGUCGAACAGACCUUGUGUUUCUGUGUAAAAACUCCAUUUCUUUCUCUUACAACUUAAAAAGAAAAGGCAUGGGCAGGGGGCAGCUAGUAUAAUUUGAAUUUACUCCUGAGGCAGGUUUAAGCCUUGUACUGUUAGGAAAUAACACGUUAAAACACUGUUUUUCAAUCUUGGUGACUUUAAGAUGAGUGGACUUCAAC